rnacentral:lncRNA from 1 species
AGUGCAUACUUUCAGGGCAGAAGGUCUGCAUACACCAAGCUCUCAAAAGUCAAGGUUUGUCCAGAUCACCAACACCUUCAGAGCUGAGUGUAUACUGUGAAAUACAUUUUUAAACAGGUAGUUUUCAGUUAAUUUUUUUGUCUCUAAUUUGUUUACAUUUAGAACUAUUGAAGGAAGACAGGACUCUAGUCAGCUGGCAGCUGUUAAUGGCAUUGAGUGACAUGUUGUAAGUCAUUUCUGCCAUUUAUUCAUAUCCCCAGGACCAAGACUUAACCCCAAGGAGAAGGCUGGAUCGGAGCUUGAAACGUCAGGAUAGCUGGUCAAGUUCAUAUACAAGUAAACAGGAGGAAGAAGCAUCUCUUAACCAUCACACCUUGCUGGGAGACCUGUCCUCCAUGACCAGCAGUAAAACCAGACCCCAAGAUGGGUUCAGUAUGCUGCUGCGUCGUCAUGGAGGCUCCAGACGGAACUCCCUUCUGCGCUGGUGUCAGAGUCGCACACAGGGCUAUGCAGUGAGGGGGGCAGGCUGCUGCAUGACACUGAGAGGACUAAAGACUGUAGCAGAGGGGAUGUGGGGGUUAUUCUUUGUUCAGUGCUUAGUAGUCUUGUCUCUGGUCAGACAUAUACUGUAUAUUCUGUACAUAAGAUUUACAGAAUUUCAGCAGGAAUGUUUGAUGUAA